UAUGUCGUAGACUAAUGGUAAGUCGUAAAUUUUUGGUGUUUAAUUAUGAGUGUUCGAAUCCCUCCGACAUAA